rnacentral:rRNA from 1 species
GACGAAGGGGGCUAGCGUUGUUCGGAAUUACUGGGCGUAAAGCGCGUGUAGGUGGUUGUCGUAGUCAGGUGUGAAAGCCUUGAGCUCAACUCAAGAAAUGCACUUGAUACUGGAUAACUAGAGGACCGGAGAGGAUAGUGGAAUUCCCAGUGUAGUGGUGAAAUACGUAGAGAUUGGGAAGAACACCAGUGGCGAAGGCGGCUCACUGGACCGUUGUUGACGCUGAGGUGCGAAAGCGUGGGGAGCAAACAGG